rnacentral:rRNA from 1 species
GUUUGGUUAAGUUAGAAAGGGCGCACGGUGGAUGCCUUGACACUAGGAGUCGAUGAAGGACGGGACUAACGCCGAUAUGCUUCGGGGAGCUGUAAGUAAGCUUUGAUCCGAAGAUUUCCGAAUGGGGAAACCCACCAUACGUAAUGGUAUGGUAUCCUUAUCUGAAUACAUAGGGUAAGGAAGACAGACCCAGGGAACUGAAACAUCUAAGUACCUGGAGGAAGAGAAAGCAAAUGCGAUUUCCUGAGUAGCGGCGAGCGAAACGGAACAUAGCCCAAACCAAGAGGCUUGCCUCUUGGGGUUGUAGGACAUUCUAUACGGAGUUACAAAGGAACGAGGUAGACGAAGCGACCUGGAAAGGUCCGUCGUAGAGGGUAACAACCC